rnacentral:rRNA from 1 species
UACGUUCCCGGGCCUUGUACACACCGCCCGUCACACCACGAAAGUUGGCAAUACCCGAAGCCGGUGGCCUAACCCGUAAGGGAGGGAGCCGUCUAAGGUAGGGUCGAUGAUUGGGGUG